rnacentral:rRNA from 1 species
CUACGGGGGGAGCAAGCGUUGUCCGGAAUCAUUGGGCGUAAAGGGCACGUAGGCGGUUUCUUAAGUCGAAUGUGAAAUCUCACGGCUCAACCGUGAAACUGCGUUCGAAACUAAGUGACUUGAGUUUGGGAGAGGUGUACGGAAUUCCUGGUGUAGCGGUGGAAUGCGUAGAUAUCAGGAAGAACACCAAUGGCGAAGGCAGUACACUGGCCUGAAACUGACGUUGAGGUGCGAAAGCGUGGGGAGCAAACAGGAUUAGAUACCCCGGUAGUCC